ensembl:lncRNA
GUAGCAAUCACAGUUCUCAUUGUCUUCCUUUAAUGUCAGCCCUAGGCUAUCGUAAACCUAUAUUUUGAACACAAAUACUAGUAUAAAAAUGAACUAUUAUCACAUAAACAUGCGUAUGUGUACCUGCGUGUGUGCCUAUGUGUGUGUGUGUGUGAGCGUAAAUAGUUCUUGGAUAUCUUGCCUGGAAACAGUUUUCCGUCUUAAUCUGGCUACUCUAAGAAUAGAAGUGUGCGGGUUUGUCUCCGUCAGAGGAAGCACUUGGAGCCUGUUUACAGUUCACAGAGAGGUGUCUGGAUUCGAUGCCUGCAGGAUGCCUAGUCUCGGCUGAAUUCCCAUCUGGAGCAUAAAGGCUCGCUGUGUCUACUUAUUUGCCUGGGCUCCUAAGACCCACGCGAAAGGGAACCCAAGGGUUAUAAUGCUGUUCCAUUGUAAUACAUUCCAACAAACCUUGUGUGAAGUUGCAAAUGUCGAUGGUAAUGUCGCUAAAUUAUUCCGACAAACCUAAGGAUGUGGCGGUGACCGCAAUCAGAG